rnacentral:rRNA from 1 species
UACGAAGGGAGCUAGCGUUGUUCGGAAUUACUGGGCGUAAAGCGCGUGUAGGCGGGGCUUUAAGUCAGGGGUGAAAUGCCAAGGCUCAACCUUGGAACUGCCUUUGAUACUGGAGACCUUGAGUCCGGGAGAGGUGAGUGGAAUUGCGAGUGUAGAGGUGAAAUUCGUAGAUAUUCGCAAGAACACCAGUGGCGAAGGCGGCUCACUGGCCCGGAACUGACGCUGAGAUGCGAAAGCGUGGGGAGCAAACAGG